GUACUUGCUUCGGCAGUACAUUUACUAAAAUUGGAACGAUACAGAGAAGAUUAGCAUGGCCCCUGCGCAAGGAUGACACGCAAAAUCGUGAAGCGUUCCACAUUUUU
rnacentral:snRNA from 13 species